rnacentral:rRNA from 1 species
AUGGCCACGGACGCGGCGCUGAGCCAGCCGGAUCGCGCCACCGUGACGCUCGGCGAGCCCGCCCACGAGGAGGCGGUCCAGCAGCUGGUGCAGCAGCCGGACUCGAGGCUCCGGAGCCUCAACCCGGGGCCGAUACCCAUCCCGGCGGCGCCCAGCUCCAGAUCGCUGCUGGAGAAGGUUUCCGAUCAAACCGUAAAUCUGGAUCUCACAGCCUCGCAUCAAAGUGAGAAUGGCUCCAUCUCUACAGUUAGCUCUACAGUUAGUUCAGUGGAAUCAGAGAAAGCAGCUUAUGAAUUCCUUGCUCAAACUCCUAUCAAGUCAACUGAUAAACACCUUGUGGAGUUUUCAGAGGCUAUGAGAACUGUUGCAAAAGCACUGCGACAAGUUGCUGAAGGGAAGGCUGCUGCUCAAGCGGAGGCGGCAGAGUGGAAACGGAAAUAUGAGUUAGAGACGGCGCAAAAGCAACAAACCAGAAUCAAAGACUGUGGCACUUGUACCGAUGAUAACCUAGGGAAAAUGACCAGCCAACUAUCACUUGAGGCACCUGCAUCUGACCAAACAGGAUGUUGUGGAAACCAUGGGAUAUGUUCACAUGAGGUUCUCCAGGACGAAGUUCCUGGACCUAACCCAAGACCUAGUCUCAGUAUGGUGGGAAGAAAGGCAUCAUUUAGACUUUCAUGGGGAUGCAACGGGAACAAAAACGGCCAGCACAAGCAUGACUUUGUUUCCUUUGAAAAAGGAGACAUUACAACCGCAGAGCGCAGCAGUAAACAGAUCUUGCUGAAGUGGGAAUCCCGGCCACAAACAGUGCUUUUCAUAACCAAACCUAACUCCAACUCUGUUCGCGUUCUCUGUGCUGAAAUGGUCAGAUGGCUUAAAGAGCACAAAAAUAUUAAUGUCUUUGUGGAACCGUGGGUUAGCAAGGAACUUCUAACAGACGAUUCUAACAACACAGUGCAAACAUGGGAUAAUGAUGACGACAAAAAGAUGUUGCACAAGAAGGUUGACCUCAUUGUAACUCUUGGCGGUGAUGGAACUGUUCUAUGGGCGGCAUCAUUGUUCAAAGGACCAGUUCCUCCAGUUGUUGCGUUCGCCAUGGGAUCACUGGGUUUCAUGACACCGUUUCCAAGCGAGCAAUACCGUGAUUGCUUGGACAACGUGCUGAAGGGACCUUUCAGCAUAACACUGAGAAACCGUCUCCAGUGUCAUGUAAUCCGUGACGCAGCCAAGGACGAGAUCGUGACCGAGGAGCCAAUCCUGGUGCUAAACGAAGUUACAAUUGACCGCGGAAUAUCAUCCUACCUUACCUACCUGGAAUGCUACUGCGACAGCUCAUUCGUCACAUGUGUACAAGGGGACGGACUCAUCAUAUCAACCACGUCAGGAAGCACAGCAUAUUCGUUAGCGGCUGGAGGGUCCAUGGUUCAUCCACAGGUCCCCGGCAUCCUGUUCACGCCGAUCUGCCCCCACUCGCUGUCGUUCAGGCCGCUGAUCCUGCCGGAGUACGUGACGCUGCGCAUCCAAGUGCCCUACAACAGCCGGGGCCACGCGUGGGCGUCCUUCGACGGCAAGGACCGCAAGCAGCUGGCCCCCGGCGACGCGCUCAUCUGCAGCAUCUCCCCCUGGCCGGUGCCGACGGCGUGCCUCGUCGACUCCACCACCGACUUCCUCCGCAGCAUCCACGAGGGCCUCCACUGGAACCUCCGGAAGACGCAGACGCUCGACGGCCCGCGCGACUGA